CUGGUGUCUGGGCAGCGUUGAGUCCAACCCUCAGGAGAGCUCCCUCCAGACUGAAGAACAUGACCCACUGGCUAUGUUUUACUCUUGCUCUUGUAGCCGUCAGAGGUGUCCUCUCUGAGAUCAAGACAGUAGAGUAUGGAGGAGCCAUAAGGAAACCUGGAGACUCUCUGCGCCUCUCCUGCAAAGCCUCUGGGUUCACCUUCAGUGACACCUGGAUGGCCUGGGCCCGGCAGCCCCCUGGAAAGGGGCUGCAGUGGGUUGGGGAAAUCAUUGGGAACUCAAAGACCAUCAACUAUGCACCAGCAGUGAAAGGGAAAUUCACCAUCUCCAGAGACAAUACCCAGAACCUGCUGUUCCUGCAGAUGGACAGCCUGAGCCCAGCAGACACAGCCCGGUAUUACUGUGCAAGGUACACAGCGAGAGAAAGUCCCUCUGAGGCCAGGCAAAAACUUGCCAGUGUCAUUUCCCAGCCUGGUCCAAGAGGUGCCCUCUCCCAGGUGGUUCUGAUGCAGUCAGAGGCAGCUGUAAAGAAGCCUGGAGAGUCCCACAUGCUACAGUGUGCCACCAGUGGGUUAACACUCAGUAGCUACUGGAUGAACUGGGUCCAACAGGACAACUCCCAGAGCCUGCUACACCUUCAGAUGAGCAACCUGAAACCUGAGGACAUGACCCAGUAUGACUGUACCAGAUACACAGUGAUCUGA